AAAGGGGAUUGUGGACGUAACCUCGGCGGGGCUGACCUAAUGAACUGACGUAGACAUGGAAGUGACCUCUGCUCCAGCGUGCGUGCGAUGCUCAGCCCCCCUCUUUUUGUUGUGGGACACUAACCUGUUAACCCUGGAGCUCGAAUGAACACACUUCCAUUCCGGCUCAGUUUUCCUUUGGAGUCCACAGAGCGUCCCAAGUUAAAGAUGGAUUUCCAUUUCUUGGAUUUACCGGACAGUUUUCUCCUAAAAGCAGUGAGGCCCAGACGGCGAGUCAUAGGGACUCUCCGGCACUGGAAGAAAUUGAGUCCAAAAAAAUGAGAGACAGCCACACCCAAACCUCCCAAAUUACCACCGACUCUGGCCAAAAGGUGAAUGAAUGGCAGCUAAAUGUAAAACACUUGAAUUUAAACUGUACAAAUCACACAACUUGUGUCCGGCACUUGUAAGUUAUUUACCUUUUUGUCUUUCGUGCAAUAAGGUUGUUUUGUCCGACUGCUGUGGUGCUAAAAAUGUGUGUUCACUGCACUAUUCAGAAUAUUAGUGGCCAGACAUGUUUAUUUCUCUUAUUCUGGUUAAAUGAGAAGAAAA